rnacentral:lncRNA from 1 species
UAACAUCCCGAAAAUCAGGACAUAAAUUUUUUUUUCUUUUAGUUUAAUAAAUUGAUAAUACAUAUUGUUUCCAUAAAACCAGAGUAACCAAUAUUUAACAAAACAUCAUUAAAUCAGAGUAAUUCACAGAAUGCUGAAACAUGUGUUGUGUGCACUGCAAUCGUCCCGAACUCUUCCAUUUGAAAACUGGAGUACCAAAAACAUAAACUGAAAACUGUAAGCACAAAGAUUAGCGAGUCCCCCAAAAUACCAUACAACAUACAAUCACAUGAAAACCAUGCAAGAGAAAGGCAUACAUGAAUUGCCAUGGGCACCCUCCAUGGUAUUUACUUGGAAUGCCUUGGGCUCCUCCCACUAUCUGAUAACCAAGUGACAUGGACUCCCCCCAUGGUCUGACAUCCAAUUGCCACGGGCUCCCUCUGCGGUCUUCCAUGCAAGUAUUACAAAGACAACUAGCAUACCACAUAACACGUAAUGGGUUGGCAUUGGUGCCUUCGACCCAUGGAUAUAGUGAGAGGACUCACCUCGCACUGUUGAACCAUACAGAAACACCCUUGGCUAUUGGAUGGCAGAUCCCGGGACUAUCAAUAACAAAAAAAAACACCUAAUUACCAAUUGGGUUCCAAUCCAUAACCACAACUCCAUACCUGGGGUAAAAAGACCAUUUUACCCCAAACCUAGCCUCGUCCAAAUCUAAGACCCAAACUUACAAUCUGAAAGGCCUAAAGGCCAAUUAAUCAACCAAUGGCCCAAUUUUCCAAAUUGGUCCCAACCCCUUACAUGGGUCUUACCUUAAGGCCUAACCAUUAGUUCUAGUCCAAAACACUUUGUAUUCCGAUGGCCCAUUAAAUACUCACACACUCAAACUCAAAAUAUCAAAAACCACUUGUGGCCCAAAUCAUGGCCUAAUUUUCCAAAUUGGGCCCAAACCCCUUCGUGGUCCUUCUCAACAUCACUAUCAGACCAAAACCUGAUGGCCCAAUAGGACCCAUGACAAAUAAGCCCAACAAAUGGCCUACACUAAAGCCCAAUAAGAAAAAGUUCCCUUGACUGAGUACGCGGGGCGUACUCAGCUGUACACUAAGUGUACUAGUUGUUUGGCUUGUACGCUGCGCGUACAGACUUGUACGCCCAUCGUACUCCUCCAUUGAGCCAAAACCUUCAUUAAGCUCUUAAUGCUUGACCCCAUAAGCCCAAACCAUAGGUCUACUACUAGAUGAACGUCUAGAACCAUAAAGUCACUGACUUGGUGAUUUGCAUGCCCCAAGAAGACCCAAUAUCAAAGUGUAGCAUUCUACUUUCAUGAAAAGGACCCAAAAUCAAACAUGGAUGGUUUUAAACUCUAAAGGUGCCAACUUUAUGGACCUUGAACCUCAGAAACACUAAGUGGGGAAAAUCAAAGCUCCUGAAAUGGGAUCAAUACCACUAUAUCUCAUUUUUAGGAGCAAAAUGAACCAAAACGCAUAAAUGAUAGAUCUAAGACAUCAAUAAUCAAGCUCAAAGCUUUUUACCUCCAACAAGCUGGAAAUGAGACACAUAAGCAAGAUCCAUAAGCUCUUCCUUGAUUCCCAUCCUUGCACCAAACUCCAUCUUCUUGGAGAUUGACCAAACACACCAAAAAAGGACACCAUGAGCUCAAAAUGUCACCAUGAAGGCUAAAGGACGGUUUGGGGUUUUGAGAUGGUGGAGGCUGACCUAGAAAUGAAGGAAAAGGGUUAACAUUAUGCUUAUAUAGGGUAAAACCCUAAAAUUAGGGUUUCUUCAUAAAGUCAUGCAUGAGUUGAUCAUUUUACAAAUAUUAUUAAGUCAUCUUUGUAAUAAUUAAAUCAAGAAACCUUAUUUUUAUGUUCCAUAGAAAAAUCAAACUACAAAUAAUUACUGAGUCACAAUAGGCAAAUAAUAUCAAACUAAAAUCAAACAUCAAACUAAAUACAAAUGUAAAAUAAAGAUAAGUUAUUUAUAUGUUACCAUUUUAUACAUACCUGGUUUGUCUCUGAUUUAGAAUAAAGAAAAUGUUAUACCACACACAUUAUCACAUACAUGUGCGGGUUUAGUUCGUGUUCUUCCAUAUACGUGUGUUUUUUACCCAUACCACCAAUAAUUGUAAAUCGAAUCCAUCAUGUGAAAAAGUUCAUCUUUAUCAAUUAGAUCUAAAUAUUAAAAAAAAUCAUCCUUUCUAGAAGUUCUUUGUGUCGUUUCUCUUACAUCUUUGUUCCUUCACACCACAAAAACAUAGGCAUAUAGCAUAGAUCGGUGUAGAAGGCAUAACAUGGCAGUUAACGUAAGUGCUGGUGGUGGGAUAACGACGAUUGUAGUGAAAGAUUACGGGUUUAACAUACACACACACACACAGAGAGAGAUAAGAAUGUUGAGGUUUCCAAAAAAAGGUUGAGACGGGAAAUGGUGGAAACGUGCUUUUCUUCUACGAUUGCACAUAGUGAACUUGGGGAACACCGACCCCUAAACUCGACAUGUCAAGAUCGGAAUGGCAGCUCAACAAUGGCAAGCGGAGUCUUUUUAUUCUUACUCUCUUCUUCCCUCCUUUCUUCUCACCAUUCGACAACCCACCCCUCUCUUCUCCAUCGUUUCUUCUUCCAAGCUUUUCGCCCAUUUAUUCUCUGAUGGAGCUCGGUGUUCUUAGGGGCAGAGCCAGUAUAUGGAUAUAAGCGGGGAUAAAAAUGUAGCAUCCCAAACCUACUAAGUAAUUUUUUUAAAUACGUCAAAACCAUUCAUUCGUUGUUCCAAAAGACGAUCAGAGUCAAAGUAUUCUCAAAACAUCAGAGUAAAGUCAUAACACUCAAUGCAAAAAUAAAUCUUUACAGGAUGUAGUGCGAUCAAGUUGGUCCCUUCAUUUUGAAACCAAAAGUACCUGAAAAUAUUAAAACUAAACCAUAAGCACAAAGCUAAGUGAGUUCUCCAAAAUACCAUAUCCAAAAUAAAUGGGCCCAACCCAGCACAUAACUAAAUGGGCCUAACUCAACAUACAUAAAUGGGCCCAUCCCAACAUAAUAAUGGGCCCAACCCAACAUACAUUAUAAUGAUCCCAACCCAACAUCUAUAAUAAUGGCCCAACCCAACAUAUAAAUGGGCUCAUCCCAAUAUAACUAAUAAUGGGCCUAGUCUAACAUACAAAUAAGCCCAGCCCAACAUACAAGUGGGCCCAACCCAACAUACAAGUGGGCCCAACCCAACAUACAAAUUGGCCCAACCCAACAUAAACAUGCAAGAGUCACAAAGAAAACUAACACAAUCCAAUGGGCCGACAUUAGUGUCUUCGACCUAUGAGAAUAGUGGGAAGACUCACCUCAAUCGGUCAACAAAAAUAUCUCAUACACGAACUGUUGGUGCUAAAGUCUCUCUCACUAAACAUAUCCAAAACUAAACCAUAAUUAUCAAUUAAAGUUAAUACUCCAACUUAGUAAUUUCAAAUACCAAGAUAAAUCCUCAUUUGGUCAAAAGACCAUUUUUCCUUUUAUAAGUCCUCAACCCCUCACCGUUGACCAAAAGUCAAACUAGUAAAAAAAGUCAACGGUCAACAUUUCGUUGACUUACGCGCUACAUACGUCUUACUCUACGCAGGGCAUAGAGUCUUAUGCAGAAAACAGGCAAGAAUCAGGCUACGUUACGCGUAGCCCAGAUUAUGCCCCGUAUAUGGCGUCCCUUGCCACACUUUAUUUUAAGCACUUAAUACAUAAAGACCUUGCACUCAAAUCCUAUAUCUAGUUCCUAAUAGCUCUAUAAUGGUUAAAAUUUCCAACUUUAGCCAUUAGGAUGGUUCAAACAACCAAGAUCUAGUCUUUAAGCCUUAAAAGGGACCAAAAUGCAUCUUUCUCAACAUACUCCAGUAAGUCCAAGUCUCCAACCUUCAAAUCUAAAUCAAUAUGAUGUUUAGAUGGAUAAAGUCUCCAACUUUAUCCAUAACAAGGUCACAAACUUUCAAGAUCCAAAAUUUAUGCACUAAAAUGACCCAAAAACACUAACACAACUUGCAUGGCUUAAUGAACAAGCACCAAAGCACAACUUUCCAAGUCCAACAAGUCCCAAGAGUGUUCCAUAUAACUCAAAAUGUGAUGGAGUUGCCUCACCUCCCAAAACACAAGCUUAAGGGACCAAAAAGUGACAAAUAUGAAAAUUAUCAAGAUCCUAUAGCAAGUUUGAAGCUAUUUUACUCACAAUGGUCUAAGAAUGAAGUAACCUUGUUGGAUAUAUACUUAAACCCUUCUUCUAUACACUUUGUUACCAUCUUGUUCUUCAAGAUUCCACCUUCCAAUGGAGAAACGAGCUCAUAAAUGAUGCUAAAGCUCAAAUCAAGUGAGAGGAGGCUAUGUGUCACACCCCAAAACCAAGAACGGCGGAAACGUUCUAGGGUGGAGGACGUCAUGUGAAGUAUCAUAACAGUGUAAAGUAGUAAACAAGCAACAACAUCAUCUAUUGCAUUAAAAGUAAAGUUUUAAUACAUGUGUGUUCUUUCAUAAUGUACAACAAUAAAAUGAAUAAUCAAAAUAAGACGAGUCAUGUCUGUGCUCCGUCUUCUCAAGGCCUGGCCAUCGUACCUGUCUAACUGGUGACCUGAGAAUACAAGUUAUUUUGAAAGCGAGUAUCCGCCUAAAGCUGGUGAAUUCAUAAGUAUUUAAGUGUCAUUGUCUUGUUUUGGAAAGAUGUUAUGAAUGCCUUGUAAAUCUUUAAAUGAAACAAUUGAAAUAAGUAUGAAAACCCUAGAAAAUCCCUUAUUUCCUACUAGUAUGAAAUGUAGUCUUCUACCAAGACCCGAAUGUUUUGCUAUGAUAAUGAUAGUUUUUCCUUCUUUUUGACUAUUACAAACAGUACUUAGUCUAACUCAUCGUUUAUGUGAAUGUAUCACAAAAUAAAGUAAAUAGGAAAAGAAUAUAAUAGUCUUCUACCAAGACCCGAAAGUUGUACUAUGAUAAUGAUAGUUUUUCCUUCUCUUUGACUAUUACAAACAGUACUUAGUCUAACUCAUCGUUUAUGUGAAUGUAUCACAAAAUAAAGUAAUAGGAAAAUAUAAUCAUGUAAGUGUUAUCCUUUUGUAUUAGGAUUAACACGACAUCGCGAUUUGCGAAAUGUAUAACCUUUGAACAUCCGUAGAUUGUUCAAUUGUCCUCUGUAGCUACAACAGGGCGGAGGAAGGGUUAGUCCCGUUAAGGUACUCCUAAUAUAAGUAUUAACCGUAGGCAUUCGUAGAUGUUCAUCGACCUCUGUAGNUAUCCCGUUGAACUGGGAUAGGCAGGACAAUUUACACAGAAGGUACUAAUAAAUCAUCCUAGUGAAUCGAGGUACAAGUAUCCAUGUAAAUGUAUACAGGAAAAUGUAUCUACGUAAAGGUACUCAUGUAUGGCAUUCAUGUAAGCGUAUUCAUGUAAGCGUAUCUAUAUAAGCGUAUUCAUGUAAGCAUAUUCAUGUAAGCGUAUCUAUGUAAGCGUAUUCAUGUAAGCAUAUUCAUGUAAGCGUAUCUAUGUAAGCGUACUCAUGUAUCAUGUAAUGUAUUGGUAUAGACUCAUGAAUGAACUGACUCUUGUGUGAUUUCUCGUAAGAGGAAUGAUGUUAUGUAUCUUCUAACUAUCCCUAUAAUAGUUAACUGGAAGGUAAUUGGUUGUUCAAGUAGGUUUAUACACCCUUGUUACACAAGAGUGUGGGAAACUGAAUGAAGGAUGAAAACUAUAACAUCAAUACAUAUAUAAGAACAUAAGUGUAUAAGUAUAGUUUUGUUCAAGAAGGUAAAAAUGGUUUUGUAAGAUAUCUAAGAGUUUUGAACAAUAAUUAACAAUGACUUGAUGUCAUUUUAAUAAACAUUUCAAAACUAAUACUUUUGUUAUCAAGGUAUUUUAAGAUAGAAAACCAUUUCAUGUGUCACCUUUUGAAAUAUGUGAAAUCUACUGAUUGAAAACACAGUUAUAAAAUACAUAAGAUUGAUUUAAUAACAUACUAUUUUCUACUUGUAUUCCCCCCCCCCCAACAUUAAAGCAUUUAAAAUCAUUUAAAACAUUGAUUAAGGGGUAUGAACUCACUUGUAGAUGGUCGUUUGGAUGAACUGGAUGAUGUAGGAUUGCCAGGUGACAAGUGAUGACUUGUUCACACUCAAAGAUCCUAGUUAACAUAUAAUCACACAUAUAUGUAUUCAAUUAGACUUUAAACCACUAAUUGACAAAGUUAAGACAUCCUAAGGCAUGUAAAAUGUCACACCACAAAACCACGAAUGGCGGAAACGUUCAGGGGUGGAGGACGUCAUGUACAGUAUCACAACAAUGUAAUAUAAUAAACAAGCAACAACAUCAUCCAUUGCAUUAUAAGUAAAGUUUUAAUACAUGUGUGUUCUUUCAUUGUGGUAAGACACCAAAAAUAUACAAUCAAAAUAAAAUAUGAGACUUGUCCGCUCCGUCUUCUCAAAACCUGGCCAUCGUACCUAUCUACUGCUGACCUGAGAAUACAAGUUAUUUUGAAAGCGAGUAUCAGCUUUAAAGCUGGUGAAUUCAUAAGAAAUUAAGUGUCGUUGUCUUGCUUAUGAAAAUCUGCUAUGAAGGCCAUGUAAACCUUUACAUGAAAAUGUUGAGGUAAGUAUGAAAUCCCUAGAAAAACCCUUAUUUUCUAUAAGUAUGAAAUGUAGUCUCCUACCAAGACCCGAAUGUUUUGUUAUAACAAUGUAGUCUUCUACAAAGACCCGAAUGUUUUGUAAGUAAAAUGAUAAUUUUCCUUUGGUUUUUUAGUACUAAAGUACUUAGUCUAACUCAUCGUUUAUGUGAAGGUAUCACAACAUAAAUCAAAGACCCGAAUGUUUUGUAAGUAAAAUGAUAAUUUUCCUUUGGUUUUUUAGUACUAAAGUACUUAGUCUAACUCAUCGUUUAUGUGAAGGUAUCACAACAUAAAUUAAACAGGAAAAAUCACUUAUGUACGUGUUAUCCCGAGGUACUGAGGUUAACACGACGAAUGUAAAUGUUAUCCCGAGGUACUAGGGCUAACAUAAUACAUAUAACCUAAUGAACAUCCGAAGAUUGUCCACUUGUCCUCUGUAGCAGCAGCAGGGCGGAGGAAUGGUUAGUCCCUGUAAAGGUACUCCUAGUAUAAGUAAUAACCGUAGGCAUCCGUAGAUGUUCAUCACCCACUGUUGCUAACAGAUGAGUUCCGGAAUGGUUAGUCCCGUACGUAUAUCCCGAGGUACUGUGGGAUAGAGGCCCAUCUAGGUAUCCCGAGGUACUAGGGAUAGGGUCCUGUCUAGAUAUCCCGAGGUACUAGGGAUAUGCAGGAAGAUUUACACAGAAGGUACUAAUAAAUCAUCCUCGCAAUUCGAGAUACAAGUAUUCAUGUUAAUGUACACAGUUAAGUGUAUCUACGUAAAGGCACUCAUGUAAUGCGUUCAUGUAAGCGUGUUCAUGUAUCAUGUAAGUAUAUGUAAACGUACUCAUGUAUCAUGUAAUCAAUUGUAAAGGUACUCAUGUAUCAGGUAAUGUACUGGUAUAGACUCAUGAAUGAACUGACUCUUGUGUGAUUCCUUGUAAUAGGAAUUAUGUUUGAAAUCUCCAAAUUAUCCCUAUGAUAAUUUACUGGAAGGUAAUUGGUUGUUCAAGUAUGUUUAUACACUCUUACUACUCAAGAGUGUGAAAAACUAAAUGAAAGUUGUAAACUAUAACAUCAAUACAUAUAUAAGAAUAUAAGUGUACAUGCAUUAGUUCAAGAGUGUAAAAUGGUUUUGUAAGACAUCUUAUGGAUUUUGAACAAUAAUUAACAAUGACUUGAUGUCAAUUUAAUAUACAUUUCAAAGGUAAAACAUUUGAUAACAAUGUGUUUUUAAGAUUUAAAACCAUUUCUUGCGUCACAUUUUGUAGUAUGUGAAAUCUGUUAAAUGACAAACACAGUUAUAAAAUACAUAUCAAUGAUUUAAUAACAUGUUUGUUUCUACUUGUAUUCCCCCCUUUAAAGCAUUUAAAAUCAUUUAAAACAUUGAUUAGGGGUAUGAACUCACCUGUAGUUGGUGAUUGGGAUGAACUGAACGGUAUAGGAUGGCUAGGUGUCAAGCGAGGACUUGUACACGCACUACGAUCCUAAUGAACAUAUAAUCACACAUAUAUGCACUCAAUUAGUCUCAAAUCACUAAUUGAUAAUGUUAAGACAUCCUAGACAUAAUAAACACUUUAUAUAAGUGUUUUAAGCCCUAAGGAUUGCAUCUAAGCUAUUGUGGGACAAGGCACUUGUGUUUAGGGUUCCAAAGGACCCUAUAUGUGAGUUUACUCCCCAUAUACCAUCACACAUGGAGUUUACGGUUGUAAACUCUUGAGUUUACGGCCGUAAACUCCCAACCAUGGGUGUUUUGUGUGUUUUGAAGUCCCAAAUGAUUCCUAGAAUUAUUCUAACUUGGUGGUUAAAUUCUUGGAAGGGUUUAAGGUCUAGAAACACUCCAUUUAGGAGUUUACGGCCCUAAGGCCAUUCCCCUUAGAGUUUACGGCCGUAAACUCUAAGUAUGGUGUGUUUUUGAUGCUUUCAAGUCUCUUGCACUUGUGGUAUAGGUUCUAGACUUUUAUUCCAAGCAUAUGAAGGCAUUAGGCACACUUUGGUGCCCCUUUAAGGAGUUUACGGCCCAAGAACCAUGUCUUGGCCAUAAACUCACUUUGUUAAGUGAUUUUGAUGUGGUUCAAGCCCUUGAUUAAAUGGGAACAAGUCUAGGUAAUUGUCUAAGGCUUUAGGAGCCUUAAAAGUACCAUUUUGAGUUUGAAAUUGGAGUUUACGGCCUAUGAUAUUCUUGGGCCGUAAACUCCCAAACUUGGGUGGAUUUUGGUUGUUUUCUUGUCCUUAAUACACCUACAAUUGAGUCUAAGGCAGUUGUAUAACACAAGGGUCGGUUUUGGCUUUGUUUUGGGAGUUUACCGCCCAAGAACACCUUGGGGAGUAAACUCCUAGAUCUAAUGAUUUAGCCAUCUAAAUCAUGUUAUAAGCACAUAAUAAGCAUUCUAACACUACUAGAAAGAGUUGCUCACGUUUUGGUAUAAAAACCCGAAGAUCCGUGAGAGAGAAAAUGGCUUUUCUCUAGUUGGAAAUAUGAAUAAUGAAUGAAUUUGGUUCAGAAAUCUAUUUAUAGUCCUGAAAUACUUUUGGCAGAAAAUAUUUUUAUUCCUGAAUUGAUCUCUAAUAUAAUAGUGUGUUGGAAUAAUAGUGUUGCACAAAACCCUAGUGCACCCACUCUCCUGAUAUUUCCUGAAGUGUAAACCCUGAAUUACUCAAACUUACGCAGAAAGUCUGAAAGUUAACUGUGACUGCUAUAACUUCUAUUGAAGUGAUAUAGUUUGUACAGAAUGGAAAUUUCGGGUUGUCACAUAAAACACCUUAUAUAAGUGCUACAAGUCUUAAGGAUUGCAUCUAAGUGCUAAAGGACCUUGCUAUAGUGUUUGGGGUUCAAGGGUAAACUCCCUUGGAGUUUACGGUUUUUAUGACUUUGAUCUAAUGAGUUUACGGUCAUAAACUCAAGAGUUUAUGGUCGUAAACUCCUCUCUUUUUUACCAUAAGUUGUUUUGAGGUUUUGCAAGUCCUUUGAAGCAUUUCUACUUGGUGGUUUGGCCUUUGGAAGAGAUUAGGGCAUCAUUACACUCCUUUGAGGAGUUUACGGCCUCAUGGUCAUUUCUCUUUGGGUUUACUACCAUAAACCCAUAUGGAAAUUGGUAUUGUUAUGUUUUCAAGUCCCUAACUCAUCAAGGUAAUUUUCUAAGCUAGUUUUUAGGCCUAAGGAAGGAAAAUGACCCAUUUAAACACACUAAAGGGUGUUCCCGGUUUUUGGAGCUCACCAAACCGUAAACACAUGAUCAUGUCAUUCUUUGGUGUUUUUUAUGGCUUAAACCCAUCAAGAGAAGGUUCAAACAUGUCAAGGUAAGUCUUAAACAUCAAACUAGGGCUAAACAAGGGACUUAGGCACACUUUGGUGCCAUUUAUGGUGUUUACGGCCCAAGAACCUUCUUGGACCGUGAACACCUCUAACCUUGUGUUCUUGGCAUAAUUUCUUGAUGUUUAGAUGUAAUACUAGCUUAAUAACACUCAAGGAUGGGAGUACUUACUAUUAGGAGGCUUGAUUUGAGCAAAAGUCCAAGAACACUUAGUGUUUGUUCUUGGUGUUCUUGGUGUUUUUGGAAAUCUAAUCAAAAACACAAAAAUGAAUGGAUGAAUAGAUGCACAAACACUAGAUUAAGUGUUUAAUCAACUUGGAAUGGAUAGAACACUUACAACUUUGAAGAUCUUGAAUUGUUUCUAGUUUGCUACUUGAGAGGUUUUCUUGAGUUUACUCUUUUGGAGUUUACUCUUUUAGGGUGAAAAGUGAAAAGUGAUUAACUAGAGGAGUAAACUCAUGCUUAUGCAUGAGUUCAUGAUUUUUGGAAGUUUUUCCGACCCAAACAUAAAAGUUUGGCCGUGAACUUCUAAAACACGAGGUGUUUGCGGUUUUUAAAAUUCAAAACCCGAGACGCACUUUCUUUCACCCGUUCGUUUAAAGAUAAUAUUAAAAUAAUCAAACGAACUUAUUUUUCCCAAAAACAAGUAAAAGUGAACUUGACUUAUAAUAUGAAGUGAUUGACUGCUAGGGUUUGACCGAAUGAAAAUUUCGAGUUGUCACAUCAUCCCCCUGUUAAAGGGAAUUUCGUCCCGAAAUUAGAAUUUAGGUAAGGAAGUAGGUAUGAAUGAUCAAGUCGAGAGGUGGGAAACUUCCUAAUCGAUUGGUUCUUGCGCUCAUAAGUGAAUACAGGUCCUCGGUUGGUAUUCCAACGAACCUUCACUAACGGGCGACGACGUUGUUUCGUUCGCUUGACCACUCGGUCAAGGGUCACUACGGUUCUAAUACGAAGGCGAGGAUCUUGUUAAUCUCGAUCUCGUCGAGUGGCUUACGAGAGUCCUAACGGAAAGGUACGGUUUGAAAAUCGAGACGCGAAGGGUAAAAUGUACUUUACUGAGUUCGCGGAGUAGGUCUAGUUUGUGAGAUACAGGACCGAUUCUGGUAAGAAUCUCGGAGGUCCUAACUAUAUUGGAUUUAGCUUUCCACGUUUUACGAAGUGUAUUAAGCCAUUCCCAGAGUGAGAUUCCUAAAGAAUUUGGUCUCUCACUUGGAAUUCCAAAGGUUCUUUCUCCUGCUUAACUUCCCAGUCAAGGGCCACCCCUUGCUGGGUCAAAGUCGAAAGGGUUUCUGUAAUUUGCGAGGAAUUCUGAAUGGACUAUGAUAGUAGGUCCGUAAGACCUAGAAUUUGGCGAAUUUUCUGUCGGUGACUAUGGUGCCGACAAAUUCCCAACGGUUUUGGAUAAUUUGCCAGAGUACUCAAGAAUUUCCACAUCACUAAUAGUGUGUCUCAGGAAAUUUGACUCUUUAAUUCCAAAACUCGUGUUCAGAGAACUUUGCGAAAAGUAUCUCCGAGGGUAAUGUUUCCAUGGGUUCUUUCUUACUACGAGGGUAGAUAAGUAAGCCAUUACAUGGAGAAAUGACGAACUGAUCCCAGUAAGAAAGACGUACCCUACUCAUUUAGCUCAUGAAUACUAUGGGCGUAUUGGUCCUAUCCGAGGGGUAUCACUACGGACUCGAAGUGUCUGCAUCAAGUUCGGAGGGUAGUCUUCAGGACAUCCUUCCCUAACACUCGAACUGGUGAUAUUCGGAUCUCAGGUCCAUUUCUGAAAGUAAUUCUUUCCGUGCGUUUUCUCAAUCAAUUCAUCUAUGCGAGGCAGAGAUAACGAUUUCUAAAGGAAAUCUUAAUGAAGUCCCCGAUCGUCGAGGUAUAUAUGAUGCACUCCAUCGACUUCUGGUAAGAAUAAGACCAGAGCUCUCAAGGGUGAGAAGCCUAGUCUUUCAAUUCUAUUGCUGAUUAGUUUGCUGAGUUUUCCGGGCUGUUCUUGUAUCUCCAUAGGUGUUUAGACUGUAAGGCGAUCUGGUUAUAAGAGUCAUACUGGGUUCUAAGUUUGUUCACAUGCCAAAUGCAAUUACUCGUAGUCUUGGGCAGCCUCUGUCCUGAAGUUCAUAUUAGAAUUCAUACAUGGCCCAACGAUCACAAUCUCGUGUAUACGAGUCGUAUAUAAUUAAGAUUGAAAAGGUAGUCGAAUAACUGAUUCUUCUUUAAGCUCACAUCCCAUCGAGGGAAAAGAAGUUAAAGUGGAAUCGUCAAUUCAAAACUUGUAGAACCUUGAUUAUAUAUUACUCUCAUGUAUACAUUCUUCAGUGAUAUAUCAACCGUAUGAAUCUUUGGAUUGAACUUGACGUAUUGUACGAGUGAUAUUGUGGGGAUUCCUUCGGAAAGGAAAAGAACUAUAAGGUAUUUCAUGCAUGAAUACUUCGAUGUUCUGCUAUGACGGCUUCGCUAAAAGACGAUUAACUGAGAAAAAGAUGUACGUAUGGAGCUGGUAUUGCGAGGAUCGAAUUUACUCGAGUCGUAUGAUAAAGUCGGAAUCAUAUGGAAAACUAAAGACAUUAGAUUUGAACAAAAGGCAUUACAGACAAAACCCAACAGUGCAACCUUUAACAGAGUUACUGAACUUAAGAUUUACUACAAAACUAUUGCUGCGAACUAGGUACACUACAAAAGAUAAGUAUACGCAGCACGAGCAUCCCUUAACGGACGGGAUCUCGCAAAAGAUAAAACUCUAGUUACACUAGUUUUUGGAUGGUUCAUAAGUCUGUUACAACGAAACGCCUAAAUUACAUUAACGUGGGUUCGGAGUAGUCUCUCCUGCGGCGGUGGUUGGUAGUAGACUUUCGUUUGUGCCAGCAUUUUCUGCCGCUGGGCAGUUCCUUCUGUAGUGACCUACCUUGCCACAACCGUAGCAAGCCUGGUUCACACCGGUGCUGGGCACUUGGUUGAUCAGCCUUGUUAGGCUCUUGCAGUAACGUCUGGUGUGCCCCUUUCUGUUACAGUUUGAGCACUGCAUCUCCCGACAACGUCCAUGGUGGUGAUAACUGCAUUGGAUGCAUUUUGGGAGAUUUCCAGCAUAUUGUCUAGCUGGGUUAGGGACAAUUAGGAUGCCCGAAGGGAUGGUAGUAGGAGGUACUGAUGUCGUGGCGGUGAAGGUUGUUAUUGGUGGUUGUUUCCUAUUCACCCUUCGAAGCGAUUUGUCCUUAGAUUUAGCCCAAGACUUCCGUUUGAUACUCUUGGUCUUGGGACUCGGGGUAUCGUGGUAGUUUGUUGCUGCUCGUUGAAGUGCUUGAUUGUUACUCAGAUUGGAAUUGUUGUUAACAAUCCCGCUAACAUUUGUGUUGUUAGCGUUCAGGUGGGUCAGAAUAGCUGAUACGGUAGGCAAGACUGCAACUUGAAAGGUAGCUGCAUCAAUCUGAAGAGUUGGUGUUUGGUUGAUGGGCUGAUCGUUUUUCUUGGGCGACAUGAUUCUGUUACACUGAAAGAAAAUGAAUUUGUGAGCGAGGAUGGUUGAACCUAGACGUAGUUCGAUCGCUCAUGUAAAGAAUAGAAGUAUGUUCUCUAAAGUUCGACCUACAUCCCUAUGAUGCAGUCCUAGUACGGAAUGGAAGCAUGUUCACAAAGGUUUAACCUACAUCCCUAUGAUGCAGUCCUAGAAAAAGUGGAAGUAAGCUCAUACAGUGGUCUUAAGACGUUUGUCGUUCGAGCCGAGGUACUGUUGGUUGGUGAAUAACAUGAUCCAACCAUUAAAAGAAACUUGGAGAUGUCUCCGGAGUUAAAUUGCUAUAGUCCAAUGACUUGACUAAAGCAUGUUUCAGAUAGACUCUAAUGAAAGUAUGAUAAGAGUAUUUGAAUAAAGAAUGACACAGAAGUUAGCCGACUGUCAAUAUCUUUGAUAUUCAUGACGUACAAGUUCGGGAAAAUGACCUUGUAAAAAGGUCUUACAUCAUAUCCAGAGAAGAUAGUUCUUGACAGCAUAAAGACCUAACCAAAAGUACUUACAGUACAAGAUAGUUUCAUAGAAAAUGCCACAUCGGGCAUAGAUAGAAAAACGAUUCCUUUCUAGCAAGGAAAAUAAAAUAAGGCAUCUACUACUGGCGACGGUCAUCCCUCUGGUGAACUCUCAGUUCAGCCAGUUGGCGUUCCACAUCAAGUAGGUGUCUUUCAUACACCCUCUGGCGUAUUCGAAGUUCUAUGACUUCAGCUCGUGAUUCAGCCAGUGCUUGCAGCAGGAUUUCAUGGUUUCUCUCAGAUCUCUCACGAGCAUCUUCUAGACAAAUGGUGCAGAGGGUAUGCAUUCUCGCAUCGGCGACAACUUUAGUGAUCUGAUGUAGGGUUGUCCUGCCUUGAAUCUCAUUUCGGGCCACUCUAUGGACCAAGAUUGGCAAGAUUCUGUCUGCUGAUCCCCCAUUGCUUAGGUCAUAGAAGUUUCGGUUACCAUUAAAUGGCAAGGGUUGAUCUUGUCCUUGGCUCCAUGUUUCCAAGCAUUCCACCCACUCAGGCGUCGGGCCAUGAAAAGUCGGACGAGGGUUAGGAAUUGGAAAGGGAGCUGCAUGGGGUAGGUUCUCAACCUCGGGUUCGGAGUUAGCACCGUCUGAAAGGUCUUCGUCAUGGUGAUCAUUCAAAAGGAUAGGAUGAUCAUUCUCCGGUUCUUCUCCAAACCAUCCAGCAAUGACUUCGUUUGGAAGGUACGAGUUGCCGUGGGGAUGGAGUCCAGCCAUGUUAUCUACGCGAGAAUUUGGGUAAUGAAAUAAUUAUCAGCCGAACUAUCUAGAUAAUUAUUAGAAAAUCUUCAUCAAUUAUAUCGCUAUUUGUAAAGUGCAUACCAGUUAUAUGUAAUCAACACAGGAUAGGCCUUCGAAUAAGUGACCUCAACUCCAAAUUCACAAGGAAUAGGGGUAAAGCAAAAAUUUCACCGAUUCUAAGUCUAUAACAUCCUAGUUACAUAUAACUUUAGUGUAUCCACUUAGCAACUAUCAACUUAGUAAUGAAGAUCCCGUUUUAGUUCUCAGGUAUAAAGUAAUUAUAGUAACACAAAACACCCCUAUGGUAUUUUAGACUUAGGUUCUGUUAUAAUGUUCUUAUUGUGGUAAUGUUGGUAAGUUAUUAGACUUGUUGCCAUAUCACAACCAUUCUUGGGCAUGUGCUAAUCACUCCUUGGAACAACAUAGUUGAUCAGGCUGUGCCACUCCCAAGACUGACCAUACAUCCCCGAGCUUACCUGUGAUAUUCAACAAUCGCAAUACUUUUGUUCUUGUCAUUAUGAUACGGAUUUUAGUAUGAAUGCAGGCACGUAUACUAAAUUAAAUAUGUUACUAUUUAAAGUAUAAACUCUUAGACAGAGUGUUUUAAUCCCAAUGUAUUUAUAGUUAGUAUAUCUUUUAUGGGUUGAUAUACUUAAUUCACUAUAAACAAAGCUCUAAUACCAAUCUGUCACACCCCAAAACCAAGAACGGCGGAAACGUUCCGGGGUGGAGGACGUCAUGUGAAGUAUCAUAACAGUGUAAAGUAGUAAACAAGCAACAACAUCAUCCAUUGCAUUAAAAGUAAAUUUUUAAUACAUGUGUGUUCUUUCAUAAUGUACAACAAUAAAAUGAAUAAUCAAAAUAAGACGAGUCAUGUCUGUGCUCCGUCUUCUCAAGGCCUGGCCAUCGUACAUGUCUAACUGGUGACCUGAGAAUACAAGUUAUUUUGAAAGAGAGUAUCAGCCUAAAGCUGGUGAAUUCAUAAGUAUUUAAGUGUCAUUGUCUUGUUUUGGAAAACUGUUAUGAAUGCCUUGUAAAUCUUUAAAUGAAACAAUUGAAAUAAGUAUGAAAACCCUAGAAAAUCCCUUAUUUCCUACUAGUAUGAAAUGUAGUCUUCUACCAAGACCCGAAUGUUUUGCUAUGAUAAUGAUAGUUUUUCCUUCUUUUUGACUAUUACAAAUACUACUUAGUCUAACUCAUCGUUUAUGUGAAUGUAUCACAAAAUAAAGUAAAUAGGAAAAGAAUAUAAUAGUCUUCUACCAAGACCCGAAAGUUGUACUAUGAUAAUGAUAGUUUUUCCUUCUCUUUGACUAUUACAAACAGUACUUAGUCUAACUCAUCGUUUAUGUGAAUCUAUCACAAAAUAAAGUAAUAGGAAAAUAUAAUCAUGUAGGUGUUAUCCUUUUGUAUUAGGAUUAACACGACAUCGCGAUUUGCGAAAUGUAUAACUCUUGAACAUCCGUAGAUUGUUCAAUUUUCCUCUGUAGCUACAGCAGGUGGGAGGAAUGGUUAGUCUCGUAAAAGUAUUCCUAAUAUAAGUAUUAACCGUAGGCAUCCGUAGAUGUUCAUCAACCUCUGUAGCGAACAGUAGGCCCAUGGAAUGGUUAGUCCUGUAAAGGUACUCCUAGUAUAAGUAAUAACCGUAGGCAUCUGUAGAUGUUCAUCAACCACUGGUGCUAACAGCUGGGCUACGGAAUGGUUAGUCCCGUCUAGAUAUCCUGUUGAACUGGGAUAGGCAGGACAAUUUACACAGAAG